GGGGAAUUUUGCGCAAUGGGGGGAACCCUGACGCAGCAACGCCGCGUGCGGGAUGAAGGCCUUCGGGUUGUAAACCGCUUUCAGCAGGGAAGAUAGUGACGGUACCUGCAGAAGAAGCCCCGGCUAACUACGUGCCAGCAGCCGCGGUAAUACGUAGGGGGCGAGCGUUAUCCGGAUUCAUUGGGCGUAAAGCGCGCGUAGGCGGCCCGUCAAGCGGAACCUCUAACCCGAGGGCUCAACCCCCGGUCGGGUUCCGAACUGGCAGGCUCGAGUUUGGUAGAGGAAGAUGGAAUUCCCGGUGUAGCGGUGGAAUGCGCAGAUAUCGGGAAGAACACCGAUGGCGAAGGCAGUCUUCUGGGCCAUCAACUGACGCUGAGGCGCGAAAGCUGGGGGAGCGAAC
rnacentral:rRNA from 1 species